rnacentral:rRNA from 1 species
AGAGUUUGAUCAUGGCUCAGAGCGAACGCUGGCGGCAGGCCUAAUACAUGCAAGUCGAGCGGGUGUAGCAAUACACCAGCGGCAGACGGGAGAGUAACACGUGGGAAUGUGCCCUUCAGUUCGGAACACCACGGAAGACUUGGGCUAAUACCGGAUACGUCCGCAAGGAGAAAGAUUUAUCGCUGAAGGAUCGGCCCGCG